rnacentral:rRNA from 1 species
UGUUGGUGAGGUAAUGGCUCACCAAGGCGUCGACGGGUAGCCGGCCUGAGAGGGUGACCGGCCACACUGGGACUGAGACACGGCCCAGACUCCUACGGGAGGCAGCAAUGGGGAAUAUUGCGCAAUGGGCGAAAGCCUGAUGCAGCAACGCCGCGUGAGGGACGACGGCCUUCGGGUUGUAAACCUCUUUUAGCAAGGAAGAAGCGAAAGUGACGGUACUUGCAGAAAAAGCGCCGGCUAACUACGUGCCAGCAGCCGCGGUAAUACGUAGGGCGCAAGCGUUAUCCGGAAUUAUUGGGCGUAAAGAGCUCGUAGGCGGUUUGUCGCGUCUGCUGUGAAAACCCGAGGCUCAACCUCGGGCCUGCAGUGGGUACGGGCAGACUAGAGUGCGGUAGGGGAGAUUGGAACUCCUGGUGUAGCGGUGGAAUGCGCAGAUAUCAGGAAGAACACCGAUGGCGAAGGCAGAUCUCUGGGCCGUAACUGACGCUGAGGAGCGAAAGGGUGGGGAGCAAACAGGCUUAGAUACCCUGGUAGUCCACCCCGUAAACGUUGGGAACUAGUUGCGGGGUCCAUUCCACGGAUUCCGUGACGCAGCUAACGCAUUAAGUUCCCCGCCUGGGGAGUACGGAAUCUCUAGAGGAUCC